rnacentral:misc_RNA from 1 species
GCCACUCGGAAGGACGGCAACAUUUUGGCAUCGAGGCCGAGCUUUGCGUCGUGUAGACUGUUGAGUGUGGUGGUGUGGGCGCCUGAUGAGUUGAGAUAGGGUGCACGGCGUCUGCUGGAACGUGUGAGUGGAAGUGGCGAGGUAGUGUAGGAGGCAGCAGGGACGUACCUGGUGCCAGUUAGCCAGCCUACAAGCACAGCAUAACACCGCCCACUGUCACCCUGUGACCUCUCUGUAGUGUGUGGCACUCACGCACACUCGGCCUUUGCCCUUGACCCUACAGGGUGCAGGUGUCAGGGUGUGAGUGGCAGCACAAUAGGGAGUACAGGGUGAAUGUCAGGAUCACUCCAGGAUGGAUAAUUCAGAAGUAAAUAAGACAUCAGAUGAAAUUAUAAAUGAGCUCUUUUGUUCAUUAAAUGUCCCACUGUCACCCAAGGUAGUAGAAGUGGAGGAAAGAUUAACAAGCAAGACUGAACAGCUGAGUGCACACACCGGAGACUCCGAAAACAGUGGGGAUGACGAGAGUGAUUCAAAGUCCAGUGAAAGUGAAGGAGAGACCAAGGUUAUGGGAGGAGACAUGCAAGGUAACAGAGUUGAAAAACUGAAAUCCCAGAAGAAAAAGAAAGACAAAAGGAAAAAGAAAAAGAAACACAGAAAAAAAGAAGAUGGGGGAAGACAUAAGCACAAGAAGAAAAAGAAAAAAGAAAAUUUUGAAACAGCAGAAGAAGCUAAGCUGGCUGGAGACAUAUUGCAAGAUGUCAAAUUGAAAAAUCAGGCAGUGAUUCAGAAAAUAAUGAUUCUUGAGGAAGUGACAUCCGGCACUGUGAAUGAUGGAGAACAUGAAGAGAAAAAGUCAAGAUCUAAAAGUCCUCAUUUGUUAGAUACACAGAUAGAAGUUGAUGGAGUAGACAACAAAAAGAAGUCAGAACAAGAAUCACAGAACCCUUGUGAUGAAGUCCUGGUGUCAGACAGGGAAGGAGCCACCAGCUUGCCUGUGGUGUCAUGUGAAGAUAGAGGUUAUUUUCCUGCAGGUGCUUCCAAGUCAGAUAUACAGCCAUGUCUCACACAUGAGAGAAGUCCAGGGGCAGAAUGUGUGAGUAGGUCAUCACAAGUCAGUCCUGCAGCCACAGGUGAGCACAAAAGAAAACACUCCCCACAUUCCUGCUCCCCAUCACCUGUGAAGAAACAGAAAUCCUACAGCUCAGUGUCACCACCAGAGUCCUCGUCCCCCAAAGCUGUGUGCAGACUCAGGUCACCAAGCUCUACAGAAAGGUCAAGAUCAAGAUCACUCAAAGACACCAAGUCAAGCAGAACAAAAUCAAGGUCACCAUUAGUGAAGCAGUCAGCAGAAGACAGGGCUGGGUCAAAGUCUAGGAGGUCCAGGUCACAGUCCAGCAAGAGAUCAGAGUCCAAGAAAAGGUCAGGCUCAAGGAAAAGGUCCCCGUCAAAAUCAAGGAAGAAAAUGGAAUCAAAGUUAAAGAAAAGAUCUAGAUCUAGAUCCAGAAAGAGGUCAAGAUCAAGAAAGUCAAGGUCACGAUCAAGAAGAUCUAGGUCACGAUCUAGGAGGUCAAGGUCAAGAUCUAGGAGAAAAGCAAGAUCUAGGUCAAAAUCCAGGAGAGGAUCAAACUCUAGGCAGAGAUCAAGGUCAAAGUCAAAGAUGAGGUCAAGAUCUAAAUCAAAAUCUAGGAGAAGGUCAAGGUCAAAGUCCAGUAAAAGGUCAGAGUCAAAGUCUGGGAGGAAGUCUGCAUCCAAGUCCAACAGGUCAAAAUCUAGGGAAAGGUCAAGGUCCAGGUCAAGGAGAACGUCAGGAUUAAGAGGCGUAAGAUCAAGGUCAGGAUCAAGGUCACAGUCAAGGCAGAGGUCAAGCUCUAAGUGUGGCAAGCGAUCCCAGUCGAGGUUGAGAAGAAGGUCCCGGUCCAGGUCCAAGUCUCGCAGGUCAAGGUCGAGAGGCUCACAGUCUUACAGAAGGUCAAGAUCCAGGUCAAGUCACAAGAGCUCCCCGGCCAAAGAGAGGUUCGACAUGUUUGCUGUGAUGAGGGAGAGAGCCAACAGACUUGCUGAGCUGAAGAACCAAGGCAUCCCUGAUGGCUCCCUGGGCAGCCUUCUAUUGUCUGCAGCUGCCAGUGUGCAGUCCAGUGGCAGUGGCAUCCCUCAGUCUGUGCCCGCCUCAGACCCCAGCUCCAUACCUCUCCCCCAAAAAGGUUUGCUCCAUGAUGACUCUUCACCUAAAGAUGAACCUAUGGCAGAAAGCAUUACCACCAUGGAGGAAGAGAAGCCUGCAGGUGUCACUGAGGAGGCUGUCACCCUGCUGUCCCCGGAGCAGGACGCCAGUAAAAUGAAAGAUGGGAACAAGAGCAAGCAAGAGGAAGGGAAUGAAAAAGGCAAGAUGAAAACCGUAAUCACAAUCAAGAGCUUGAAGGACAGCCUAGUUUUCCAGCAGGCACAAGAGGAGGCUGAGAGGAAAGCAAAGGAAAAGGUUGAUCAGCCAGCAGGCAAUGAGGCCAGCAAUGCAGCAGACAGCAAGUGGUGGGAAAAGCAGAGAAGCACAGAUAGACACCACAAAGAUGAGGCAACAACAGAUGAAGAGGAAUACCAUGGCAGAAGAGACAGAACAGAAAGUGAAGAAAAUAUUAAGAAAAACAAGAAAGAGGAAAAGGAGAAAGGGAAUGAUAAGAAGGAAGGGGAGCAAGGUGAAGAGGGAGAGUAUUGCUUGAAAGAAACACACAUUGAGACAGAGGUUUUCAAACAACAAGUUGAAAUAGAAGGCAGAGAGACUGAGAAAAAUAUGCACACUGAAAAGACUAAAGCAAAUACAGAGGAAACAGACAUAGAAGCAAAAAUUACCUCAAAGAAAAUUACCAUGACUAAGACCAGAGAGAGAGAGGAGGAAAAGGAAGGCAAGCACUCCAGUAAGACAGAGAAAGAGGAAAGGAAAGCAAGUAAGCAGUCAGAUAAAGUCAAAGAGGGUGAGGAGCAUGAUGGAAAUGAGCAUAUUGAACUGGAAGGUGAAGACAAAGGAAGCAAGCAAUCCAGUAAAACAGAGGAAGAAGAUGGUAAGAAAAUUAAACCCUCAAGCAAAACAGAUAAGGUAGAGGGGAGCAAGGGAAACAAACUUGUGAAUAAAGUAAUGGAGGAGAAGGAGGAAGAGGAGGAGGACAAAGUAAAUAAACACUCCAAUAGAACAGAAAGGAAAGAGGAGAAAGUCACUGCAAACUAUUCAUUUAGUAAAGGAAAGGAGGAGGAAAGAGUAAACAAGCAGUUAAGUAAAACAGAAGAAAAGGAAGAAGGAAUAUUGAGCAAACUAUUAAGCAGGAUGGAAGAGGAUAAAAGUAAAGGAAGCAAGUCAUCCAGUAAGGCACAAGAGAGAGAGGAAGGAAUGAAGAGUAGACAUUUAAGUAAAACAGAAGACAGGGAGGACAGUAAAUUGAUUAAGGACUUGAGUGGCAAGAAUGGUCACCCCCAGCCAGAGGAGGACCCAGCAGACAAAAUAGAAGAAGGUGAAAUAACUAGUGACAAGGAAGAAGAGGAGGCUAAACUACCAAGCAAACCUCACAGCAAGAAGUCAAAGAAAGAUAAAUAUAGUGGCAAAGAAAAGAAGCGAUCACAUAAAGACAAGAGCAAGAACAAGGAAGAGAAAAAGAAGGCACAUGACAAGAAGAAAGAACAGGAGAAGGCAAGAUCCAAAGAGACACACAAGUCCAGGCAGCACUCCAGCAGUUCAGGCACCAAGGAGCACUCCCACGGCCGGCGCCAUAGGAAGCAUUCUCACUCUAGAUCUCGCUCACGCUCCCGCUCACGCUCCAGAGACCACUCCAGCAGGCAGCACCGCCGGAGCCACUCAAGGUCCAGGUCCAAGUCUCGCUCCAAAAGACGCCGUGAGUCCACUUCUGACCUCAGGGACAAGGUAACCAGGAAGAGGUUGCUGGAAAUUGCUCGUCGGAAUGCGGUGUACCUGAUGCAGAAUGGAUGUCUUCCCCCAAGUGUGGAGAAGGAACAGCUGGUCAAGAUCAAGGCGGGAGGCAAGAGUGUUGACGAGCUCACAGAUUUUUGCAAGCAGCUAGUAGCCAGUGGUAACUAUAGUGAUGUUGAUGUGAGUGAGCCAUCCAUGAGUUCAGAGGAAGAGAACAGUUCAGAGAAGCCCUUCAGCAGUACUCGUCACCCCUUCAGUGUGCGGGACAGCAAGCCCAUCUUGAUGAAUAUUAGGAAUGCUCCAAUGCUGCCAACCAAGACCAAUGCAGAGAGACUGGCAGGUCAGGCCAAGCUUCGGGAGCAGUUUCCAGUGUCCAGUGGGUCACAACACCGCACCAAAGAGAGCGAGUGGGUUCCUGUCACCCCAAAGGAAAAGAAGGAAGAGGACAAGGUGUUCACCAAGCCUGAAGCUCCGUCUGUGGACAUAUCUCAGAUUGUUUCAACAAGACUCAGUGCCAUGAGGAAACUCCAAGAUAAUCCAAAUGACAGUGAGGCAAUUAAGACCCUGAACAAUGUGCAGAAAGAGAUGCAGAACUGGGCACUCAGUAAGCAGGAGCCAGGUCAGUUUACAGGAACAACAGGCGUCAAGGUUCUGUCUCAAGAAGAACUGUCUUCAGGUCACCAGGCCUGGGCCAGGAAGGAACAGUUCAAAGAAGCUGCACCUGUGAGGCCUCAUUUUGGAUUGAAGAUGCUGCAGAAGAUGGGCUGGUCUCCUGGAGAGGGGCUGGGCAAGAACAAAGAAGGCACCACUGAACCUCUCCUCCUGGAUGUCAAGAUGGACAAAAAAGGAUUUCAUGCACAAGAAGAAGUAACACCAAAGAAGCAGCCAAUACCGCUUGUGAAGGAUCUGUCUGGUAAACACCCAGUGUCAGCCCUGGUUGAGUUGUGUUCAAAGCGCAAGUGGUCACCACCUGACUUUGAAAUGGUGUUCGAUUGUGGACCAGACCACAAAAAGAAUUUUCUAAUGAAGAUUACAGGAACCGCUAUGUAUGAAUGGCUCAUGUCCCUAGCCGUGACCUUGUGGCCCUUCUUACUGCAGGUGCUGGCCGGGGGAGGGUUCUACCCACAGCCCAGCUUGCCAUACUAUGGGCCAUGCACACCAACAGCUCAAGUGUCAGAGGUGUGGCAGGACGCAGUACAACAACAGCCAUCUACCUACGGCUUGGAGAGGCACACCGGGGAGCAUGAACUGAGAGGCGCGGGGUUGGAGGGGUACUGUGAGGCUGCUGUUACUUCUACCAACUCUUAUACUGAUACAUUAACGAUGAAUAGAAAAGUAAAAGCGAUGGGCCCCCAGAUACAGAUCUUAUUAUGAUGACAGUUAUGAAAAGCUUCGAAGACAGUUUCCAGUCUCCAGUGGCUCAGAACACCGAGCCAUAGAGGGUCCACAAGCACCACCAGCUCACCUGAAGCUGAAGUUAGAUGAAGACUGGGACCAUGACACAACCUCAGUAAGA